GACCUAGAAUUCUCUACAGCUCUUGUUUGGGAAGGGCUGUCGUUUCUUAGUGGAAAUCUCUGCUAUUAAUGAAUCCAAAACCAUGAAACUUGCAAAUAAUUCCACAAGGUCAAAGAACACAACCGUGUUGUUCACUAUUGUAUUCCAAGAAUGGGAGCAUUAGCAAAGAGCAAAGUAAGCAAAUGCAGUGUUAUAAGAUAAUCACCAUCAUCAUCACUGUCAUCGUCGCCAUCGCAUCAUCAUGCCUGGAAAGAUUUGGCACAGAUAUGCCCUUCAUUUCAGGGUGGUAAAGAAAAUAUGGAACUGAAGACUGCACACUAUAGAAACUGGAAGAGCCACAAGCAAAGCCACCCAGGACAGCAGGUGGAGGUCUCCACAAGCAUGCCACCUCCAGCUUGGGAAAUCAGGAAGCGAGUAUCUCUUGGGUGGUAGGAGUAGCUGGAAAACAAACCUCUCAUUGGAAGGUCCUUAAAGAAGCCACCAGCAGCACCUUCGUGGUGGCCCUCCUUCUGCCUUGCUGAACUGACCAUGAUGCCUCAGCCCAGAUGGCCUUUGAUGAGACAGCUGGAGCCUUGGGGUUGACUCCUGUGAGUUUAGCAAGAUUCUGUCUUCUCCAGCCUCUGCCAGCUUUGGGUAUACACGUCAAAUUCAAUUUUCAUAAGCACUUAUGGAGGCUUCCUUGGGUAUUUCCCCAGCUUGGUGCUUGGGACACAGAAAGAUUAGGCCUGGGCACUGGUUUCAACCUCUUGUGCAAGAUAUGAACACAGAUAAAUAUAAUACAGGCGGUGUCAUGUAGACACCAUGGGAAGGGUAUAAACAAAGAUGUGUCUUCCAUGUGCCUGGCACAGGGUCUGGAACACAGUGUACUCUCAAUAAAACUGUAAUAAAGAAUGAAUAAGUGA